AAUGGCUCCUCCACCUCCUCGCAAGGCGCAAAUCUCACAGGAGGCAUUCGAUGCCGCGGUGCGAGAGAAUGUGGAAGAUUUUGAGAUGGAGGAGGGUGAGGCGAUCGCUGAUGCGGUGCACACAUUCCAGCUGCAAGGCGUCGAUCUCACAGGGAUUAUCACCGACGGACGCGGCAAAGAAGAGCAUCCUGUGAUCCUAGCGAUCAAAGACCUGAAACUGGCCGUGGACGACAAUGCUGGUAUGGAUCGUCUUUGCGAAGCGCUCGACAAGCUGAGGCUGGCCUCUGCCGGCGAGAACGCUUCCAUUGCGGUGAGAAAUGGCGCUGUUGAGAAAGCUGUGUUGGCUUGCAAGCGUUUGAUUGAUGAAAACAAUGCUUCAUACGUUUCCACAGCGAUGAAGACGCUUCUCCCUCUCUUGAAUGAUGAGCAGUCCAAGAAGGAUUUCUUCUCCUCCGCUGGAUGCGAAGUGAUUCUAAGUUUUCUAUCGAGACACGAUGACUCCAGUGAGAUUUCAAUGCUCUCAGCAGCAGUGAUCGCGUCAUCAGCAUCAGGAUCCGAGAUGCUUAAGGAGGAGUUUAUGCAUUUAAAAGCGGAUGAGAAGCUGAUAAAACUUCUGAGGCGCUACGUAGAGAAUGCUGAAGUACUAAGCAGUGCUUGUGACGCGUUGAAAGCAUUGGUGUCUCCCGACGAUACUAACGUGCUAGCUUCAAACGCCUUUAAAAACGCCAGAACAAUAUGGAAGGCAGGAGCUGUGAACGCUGUUUUGGAGACGGCUUCAUCCAACCGAAAAGAUCCUACACUGUUGGUGACACUUUGUGCGACAUUGAAAGCUAUGGCAGUGAAUGAAGAGAUCUGUAAAUCAAUCACGGGGGAUAAUGGACUUGAGCUAACUUUGGAGUUCGUGGACGAAUCUGCAAAAAUGCCAAACAAGCUCUUGGCUAAGAAUGCGUGCUCACUGAUAACGCAGCUGGCAUUAAGUGAUGCCAACAAAGAUGCCAUUGUUUUGCAAGGAGGAUGUCAAAAACUCGUUACGCUAGCUUCGUGCUAUUCAGAAGACGUUUCAGUGAUUCAAGAGGUGAUGUCUGCUAUUGCUUCCAUAACGUUGAGAUCCCCUUCAAAUGCUACCAAAGCAGUCGAGGCUGGCGCGAUUGACUUAGCGGUGGAGAUGAUGGACAAGCACCCGCAGGCCCCAGGCAUGCAAAAGCAAACGUGUCACAUGCUGCGAAAUCUAGCGUCACGGAAUCCCGAGAACAGGGCGCUGAUACUGGAAAGGGGCCUUGAGAAGCUGAUAAGAGCAGCCAAAUCCAGGCAUGCCAGCUGCAAAGACGCAUCUUCUGCUGCGUUGCGAGACCUGGGCCUGGACAAUUACAAUUAGAGAAAGAGAUGGGGAAAGUAGACAAACAGAUUCUUAGCGUUCCACAUCAACCGGUCGAGGAGAAGAUGAGAAAAUUCCGCCAGGAAGCAUCUCCGCGGGAGGGGUGCGUCAAACACCAACAACUUGGACGGACGUAUGUCAACUCGACUCCCGUGUCCAACACUUUGGCGGGGAAAAGGCGGGUGGACGGAGCUACUAGACAAAAGCCGCAACACCAAAGCAACACGAAAAGGCGGAGGAGGAGGCAAAUAAGAGAGGGGAAGAGCAAGAGGAUCCCAACCAAGACAAGCUAACCAUGGAUAGAUGGAUGGACCACACAAAAAGUUCGCCGCAGUGACGUGCGAAGGCCCCCCCCGACCCCAACAGGUAAAUGUGUGGGACUGGGAGAACAACACAGCGACAACGAACUCGCCGCUCGCACGCACGUACACACGUACGCAUCGCCUCAACUUGUCCUCCCCGGCCGGAACCAGUCAAUCUAGAUGGAUUUGAACCAGCAACCACCGGAUCGAUUGAGUGAUGGAGAUAAACAAUUGCCUCACCGCAGCAGCAAUCCAGCAUUCAAUGGCGCUUUCUCUUUUCUCGCGGCCCGAUUGCGAUGUCGAGAAAGGAGCUGCCGAGCGAGAAAGCGCUCUCAUCCUCACCCAGCUCGCUCAGCAAAAACGCAAUCCAGGCCAGUGACCAUCAACGAUCGAGACGACAACACUAUCAGCACCUUUACAGCGCUGCCGAGCGACCUUUACGUCUAUCUCGCGCACCACAAACACACCGGCUCAAAUUAUGCGGACAAGAGACCACUUAAACCUCUAUCCCCAACUGUGACUUCUCCGGCACCAAUCUCGCGCGCAGCACGGCUCUCAUCAUCAUAAAUCAGCUCUACUUUCAAUGGUAGUUGGCAGCAGCUGACAGGUCGGUCUUUCUUGCCGCAAAAAAUUCUCCUAUGCUUGUUUACUAAUCCUUCUCUCGUUUUUCUUUUCCAGAGAUUCUGUGCGCUAUCUAUGAUCACCAACAUCAACGCCACCCCACGCAAUUAUCGCUGCCAUCCCAAAAGAGCGACUCGCUGCCCUGCCCGGACGACGCUGCUAGAACAGACUGCCAAAAGCAACAAAGACGCAGAGGAAGAGGAGUGAAUCAAACGAAUGCCUCAUUGCUUGCUUGGCAUUGCAGCACUGCUCCAUCCAGGUAUAUUGGCUCUCUAGAAAACCACCUCUCUUUUUUCCCGGCGGCUCCUCUCCAUUGAUUUAAUGUUCGUUUGUGUGUGCGCGGGCAGAGAGUCCGGACAGUAUAUAGUUCCUUUUAGCC